rnacentral:lncRNA from 1 species
GUCGUUUGUUUCUGUAAUUUAUACGUGUUUCUCGUUUCUCGUUUCUCGUUUUUUAUAUAGAUUAGACCGUUGGUUUUCCCGUUUGAAUUGUUUUACACUAGUAAUUUUGGGGCCCUUUAUAGCUUUUUGUUCGGUUUGAGCCAAGGCUCCGUGUUGAAGGCCGUACAUUGACCUAUAAUGGUUUACUUUUAUAAAUUGUUAUUUGAAUGGAGAGUUGUCUCAUUGGCACUCACA